GGGGGUGCGCCGGAGUUGGAGAGCCGGGCCAGACUGUAAAUCUGGUGACUUUGUCUGAAUAGGUUCGAAUCCUAUCACCCCCACUA
rnacentral:tRNA from 1 species